GCCUUCGAUUUAAAUUUGAACGUAGAUAACUACAAAUAAUGAAAAUAUCAACACUGAUGUUAACUUUCAUCGACCAAAUUAAGUAUUUAAUAAGGUCGCAAGAGUUGCUAAUAUAUUAGAAAGGAAUAGCAACUUAUACUUAGCGAAAGCUCGUUAGAUAAAGGUACCUACUAGCGAAAACAAUUGACAUUCCAAUGAAUAUGUGUACCAAACAGACUUGGCAGUUAAUAAUAAUUUUGAUGUUAGCUGAUUUAUUAAUCUAUCUUAUAAUUGUUCACGUAUUUAAAGUAUUUGAAUUAAAUAAUAAUGAACUUACUUUUAUGAUGAAAAUGUUACAACUAAAACUACUCUUUAUUUUAUUUUAUAUUAUAUAUCGCGUGGUUGAUUGGUGCCUAUAUUUCAGUAUGUACGGUAUUAGAGAUGAAAUUGAGGAGAUAUAAAUACAUAUUUUAUACAUAGGAGAUUUUUAAAUAAGGUAUAGUGAUGUGUCCUGUUUUUUAUUUAAAAUUAUACAAGAAUAAUAACAAAUGCUGAAAACAUAAACACAAUCGUUAACUUCACCGACAAAGUUAGACAUUUAUAAGAUCGUAAGCAUCGUUGACUUAUCAGAAAGAAAUAACAAUUUAUACUUUACGGAGAUACGUUAAGCAGAGAACUAAUUUUCGCAGUAAAAGGUUUAGUAAGAAUAGAAAUACUUCGUUACAGAUACUAAUGAACUACAGUUCAACUAUAGUUACAACUACAGUUACAACUACAGUUACAAUAACAGUUACUAAUGAAAAAGAUAUUGGAAUUCCAGUGAAUAUGGUUCAGUUUUAUGAAUAUGUUUUAUUUGCAAUUUUUUUUUUAUCUGACACGUUAAGCUACUAUGGAAUUAAAUUAUUAUCUAAGACGUUUAACUCCCCUCAAAAUGUUCCUUGUUCUUACAAAGUAAUUAAAAAAAUGUUAGAAAUAAAAAUAUCUUUCACUGUGGUAUAUAUUUUAUAUUGGAUCGUUACUACAUUGUGGGCUUAUAGAUAUCUUAUAGGUGUUCUACAAAUAUUUUCUAUAAUCUGAAUUAUAAUCUGAAGAAUUUAUUUGAUAUUGCUUACGAUGUCCCGAAGAAGUAUAAGAAUCAUAACAGGUCAUUUUUUCAAUUUGAAGAUAAUGAUAUGAUUGAGCAGCCAUGCACGGAAUGAUACGACUACGUAUAAACAUAUACGGAUGAUUCCAAAAUAACGUAAAAGAAGGUCAAAUGCAUGUAUACCCGAAAAAUUGUGAAAAUAUAUACAAAAAAAUAUGUCCAAUUAAAAUAUAUUUGAUCAUACCAAAUAUAUCUUAAUGGAACUUUUCUGUUUGCUAAAUUUAUUUACUGUUAAUAAUUAAUAUAAACUAUUAACUAUAAAGUUGAUUAAUGUAUUAUUAAUUAUUAUUAAUUAUAAAAUUUUGCAGACAUGGUAAAGAGGUAUGUGAUUUACACAAUUUGAUAACGUUAAUUAUAUUGUUUAACGUUAAUUAUAUUAUUAUGAAAAGACUUAAGUCGAAAUGUAAUACUGCAAGUAUGCUAAGAAAUAGUGUACUAAGAAAAUUAAACUAGACGUUCAUUUUUAACUCCGAUAUUUGUUAAAAUAUUUUGAGAAAAUGCUAUAAAUAUUCAAUAGACAAUAUGUGAAAAAUAUCUUAACAAUUUUUUACCAGUUAUUUGUUUUUGUUAUAAUUUUAUGACAAUAAAAAUAAUAUAACAACAAA